ACAUCCAGAGAAUUUAGCAGAGAUGCUUUAGUGCCUUCGGGAACUCUGAGACAGGUGCUGCAUGGCUGUCGUCAGCUCGUGUUGUGAAAUGUUGGGUUAAGUCCCGNAACGAGCGCAACCCUUAUCCUUUGUUGCCAGCACGUAAUGGUGGGAACUCAAAGGAGACUGCCGGUGAUAAACCGGAGGAAGGUGGGGAUGACGUCAAGUCAUCAUGGCCCUUACGAGUAGGGCUACACACGUGCUACAAUGGCGCAUACAAAGAGAAGCGACCUCGCGAGAGCAAGCGGACCUCAUAAAGCGCGUCGUAGUCCGGAUUGGAGUCUGCAACUCGACUCCAUGAAGUCGGAAUCGCUAGUAAUCGUAAAUCAGAAUGUUACGGUGAAUACGUUCCCGGGCCUUGUACACACCGCCCGUCACACCAUGGGAGUGGGUUGCAAAAGAAGUAGAUAGCUUAACCUUCGGGAGGGCGUUUACCACUUUGUGAUUCAUGACUGGGGUGAAGUCGUAACAAGGUAGGCGUAGUGCU
rnacentral:rRNA from 1 species